GACGAACGCUGGCGGCGUGCUUAACACAUGCAAGUCGAACGGAAAGGCCCUGCUUUUGUGGGGUGCUCGAGUGGCGAACGGGUGAGUAACACGUGAGUAACCUGCCCUUGACUUUGGGAUAACUUCAGGAAACUGGGGCUAAUACCGGAUAGGAGCUCCUGCUGCAUGGUGGGGGUUGGAAAGUUUCGGCGGUUGGGGAUGGACUCGCGGCUUAUCAGCUUGUUGGUGGGGUAGUGGCUUACCAAGGCUUUGACGGGUAGCCGGCCUGAGAGGGUGACCGGCCACAUUAGGACUAAGGGACGGACCAGACGCGUACGGGAGGCAGCGGUAGGGAGUAUUGCACAGUGGGCGGAAGCCUGAUGCAGCGACGCCGCGUGCGGGAUAACGGCCUUCGGGUUGUAAACCGCUUUCGACUGAAACGAAGCGUGAGUGACGGUAAUGGGUAAAGAAGCACCGGCUAACUACGUG
rnacentral:rRNA from 1 species